CCCCUGCCAAGUCCCAGACCCAGCCAUGCCGCUUCCCAGGUACGAUGCCCAUGGCAGCUCUCCCCUCCCUUGGAGCCCAGUGUCCCACUCUGCAUAAUGGGCGCUUGUUCUGGCCCUGCCCUCGGGGAGCUCCAGACAUGCCAUGAGGGUAAAAGCACGUUUCUGCUGGUGGUCUGCACAUCGCCCCUUUUGGCCCUUUCUGGCCUUCCCUUCUCCCAACCUAAGUGAGGGUCCUGAGCUGAGGACACCCACAACAGCCCUCUGGGCAGUAGGGUGUCCAUCCCUCAGGGAGACUGGGCGGGUCCCACCACCCCACUCGACCCUGAGUCUCAGGCUAUGCACUGCUCCGUUAAGCAGAGAUGCUUUUAAGCAGAAAACGGUUACCCACGUGGAUCUGUGUCCUUUGUGGUUGUGGUCUGCUCAGGCUGGGACCAGGACGGGACCUCUCAUUGGUCUCGCCAGGUGGCCAAACCCCUGCCAGCUGUGAGGCUCACCUAAGAGCACUCUGGGGCUGGGCAUGGGGGUGGAUGAUACUGCCUCUGUGUUCACAGCCCUGCCUGGGUCUGGCUCCCCCACCUGCCCCCCAGCCUGUCUGGAUGGCCAGUGUGAGUAGACCCAGCACACAGGGCCCAGGGAGCUGAGUGCCCAGUGCCGACUGGGUAGGGUGUGGGCUCCCUGGCUGGUCAACUGGUGAUGGGCAGAACCCGAGUGGGGGCAGACCACCCGCUCAUGUCCCGGCUCUGUUUUUGUUACUUAUUUGCUCCUUAUUACUUGUGUGUGACCUUAGGAAGCUAUAGAACUUCUCUAGGCCUUGUGCGUAAAUUGAAAGUGCUAGUUUAAUUUCUACGUCACAGUAUUUCACUGAAGGCUAAAGAAGUAUCCCAGGCAUAAUCCAGUCAAGACAAGCCUUCUGGUCCUCUCUCGUUACCAGGUAGGGGUCCAGUGCAGGCUCAUGGGCAAAGGGUUAAUUCUCGACCAAGCCCUGAGUUCCUAUCCUGGUGACCCCACAGUGUGGUACCCCUGCUGUGUGACCUUGGACAGGCAUCUUCCCCUCUCUGUUCUGUUUGCUCCUUUGCAUGAGCCCAAUACCAAACAACCGGGGUAGCUGGGGUCAGAGGGACACAGGCGUGUGCGCCGUGAGCCAGAGUACCUUUGCGAGGCAGGAUGGGCGGGCUUCAUUCCUCGGGGCUGGACGUUGCUCACCAAGUGAGCAAGGACUUUCCGGCUCUGGCUUCUGUCUCAGCUGCCAAAAUAAUUAUUUUCUCUUUGUCAGCGGCUCUGCGGCCAGCCGCCUUUGGGAAAGGCCUGAGCUGUGGGCGGUGGGGAAGCAGGAGGCUGAUUCCACUUCUGGCCCAACCAUUGACUGGCUGCAUGACCCCGGGAUGGGGUGCCCUCUGGUCCUCCAUCUGUGGUUCCUCUUCUGUGAAAUGGGAGAGUUGAAGUCAAGGCCAGCAGAGUUUGGGCACUGCCAGAACUGAAGGGUCAGGACACAGAGACAUUCUCUUCCCGUGUGGGGUGGGGGUGCCGGGCCUGGCUCUGGGAGCUUGGGGUUUAGGGGCCCAGCACUCUAUGAAGCCUGGCAAAAGCUCCUGCAAGGUAAUUUAGCCUCAUCUGACAAAGCCCCCAAACUGCCUGUGUGUCCGGCAGUCAUGUGCAUUACCUUAUACAGUCUAUACCACUCUUUGAAGGAGGUCCACUUCUUAUCGCUAUAUUGCCUAAUACAGAUGAGGAAACUUAGGCACAGAGAGGUGUAAGAAACUUGCCCAGGAGUCCCCGUCAUGGCUUAGCAGGUUAAGGACCCAGCAUUACCACAAGCUAUGGUGUAGCUCACAGACGUGGCUCGGAUCCCGCAUUGCUAUGGCUGGGGGGGGGGCUGGGGGGGGCGCCCCCCCUUUCUCCCUGGGAACCUCCAUAUGUCGCGGGUGCAGCUGUAAAAAGAAAGAAAAAAGAAACUUGCCUAUUAAAAAAAAAAAAA
ensembl:lncRNA